rnacentral:rRNA from 1 species
CAAUAGCGUAUAUUAAAGUUGUUGCGGUUAAAAAGCUCGUAGUUGGAUUUCUGUUGGGAACGACCGGUCCGCCCAUUGGGUGUGUAUCUGGCUUGUUCUCGGCAUCUUCUUGGUGAACGUUGCUGCACUUGACUGUGUGGAGCGCUACCCAGGACUUUUACUUUGAGGAAAUUAGAGUGUUUCAAGCAGGCAUAUGCCUUGAAUACAUUAGCAUGGAAUAAUAAGAUAGGACCUCGGUUCUAUUUUGUUGGUUUCUAGAGCUGAGGUAAUGAUUAAUAGGGAUAGUUGGGGGCAUUCGUAUUUAACUGUCAGAGGUGAAAUUCUAUGAUUUAUUAAAGACGAACCUAUGCGAAAGCAUUUGCCAAGGAUGUUUUCAUUAA